rnacentral:rRNA from 1 species
UACGGAGGGUGCAAGCGUUAUCCGGAAUCACUGGGUUUAAAGGGUGCGUAGGCGGUCUAAUAAGUCAGUCGUGAAAUCGCUGGGCUCAACCCAUGCAAUUGCGAUUGAUACUGUUAGACUUGAAUGGGGUUGAGGCUGGCGGAAUGCGACAUGUAGCGGUGAAAUGCGUAGAUAUUCGGAGGAACAUCAGUGGCGAAAGCGGCUUUCUGGGUCAUUCCUGACGCUGAGGUACGAAAGCGUGGGGAGCAAACGGGAUUAGAUA